UCUCCGUUAGUAUAUCGGUUAGUACACGCGCCUGUCAUUGGUAAUGGUGCGCGCGAAAGCUGGGUUCGACUCCCAGACGGAGAG